rnacentral:rRNA from 1 species
UACGUAGGGUGCAAGCGUUGUCCGGAAUUAUUGGGCGUAAAGAGCUCGUAGGCGGUUCGUCGCGUCGGCUGUGAAAACCCGGAGCUCAACUCCGGGCCUGCAGUCGAUACGGGCGGACUUGAGUUCGGCAGGGGAGACUGGAAUUCCUGGUGUAGCGGUGAAAUGCGCAGAUAUCAGGAGGAACACCGGUGGCGAAGGCGGGUCUCUGGGCCGAUACUGACGCUGAGGAGCGAAAGCGUGGGGAGCAAACAGG